GAAAUUCCAAAUUCAAGAUCAUCAAAGUUAGAGUAGGAAGAAAGCAAUCUUGGACCAAAAUUGAAGGUUGAUGAGUCCUUGGCUACUGCUGGAAAAAUGAAAGACUCCAGAUUUACACCCUCAAAUCACGAUAACCAUGGUAUGAAUAUGAAUAUGAUUCUUGCCCUUGAAUCUAUUGAAGUUUUAGAAAAAACAUUUGGGGUGUCAUUUAAAGCAAUUGGGUUUGUACAAGUCAAUUGUAAAUGGGAUUCUUUUUAUAAAGGAAAGAAUAAGGG
rnacentral:misc_RNA from 1 species